rnacentral:lncRNA from 1 species
GACCGUAUGACCUGAUGAAGAUUCUAGGAAAACCCAGAUCUUCAAGAACCGUUUAAUGACCCCUUGUUUGACCGGCCAUAUCUUGUUCAUGCUGUGAUGUUUUUGUGUUAUUAUGCUUUAUAGUUAUAGUAAUACAUGUUGUCUACAAACUGUAAUUGAUAGAUCUCAUAAGCGUUGCUCGAUCAUCGAGUUAUAAGGAAUCAAAGUAGGUACCUAAGGCUGUUCUUCAAAUCUGGAAAACCCAGAAUUUGAAGAACAGGUCUGACAUCAUUUUUGGAAGCUUAGAUCUCGUUGUUAUGUUGUUGUUUGGUCAUGGAAUUGGUAUAUACUUGUAGUACUACAUUAGUACUAGAACAUCAAAGUUUUUACAAGUCUAGAAAAUAUUUAGAUCAUAGAUCAAAUUCGGGUCAAACCUACCCACUCGAACACUGACAUGAAUUUCUGGAAAUGCUGAAGAACACAUCAAGAACACAUUUAGCGACAGAUUUGUCACCUAAGCUACCUUUAGCGACA